UACAGAGACUGCAAGCGUUAUUCGGAUUCACUGGGCGUAAAGGGUGCGCAGGCGGCCGCGUGUGUGAGGCGUGAAAGCCCGAUGCUUAACAUCGGAAUUGCACCUCAAACUACACGGCUAGAGCAUUGGAGAGGGUAGCGGAAUUCACGGUGUAGCGGUGAAAUGCUUAGAUAUGACAUAGAACACCAAUUGCGAAGGCAGCUCGCUACACAAUUAUUGACUCUGAUGCACGAAAGCGUGGGGAUCAAACAGG
rnacentral:rRNA from 1 species